GUAACGGUGGUCUAGCGGUUAGAACGCUGGCCUUGUAAUCCUGGGGUCUCGGGUUCGAUUCCCGGCGGUGCCC
rfam:Zootermopsis nevadensis contig18056, whole genome shotgun sequence.